rnacentral:rRNA from 1 species
GACGAACGCUGGCGGCGCGCUUAACACAUGCAAGUCGAGCGGUAAGGCCCUUUCGGGGGUACACGAGCGGCGAACGGGUGAGUAACACGUGGGUGACCUGCCCUCAGCUCUGGGAUAAGCCUGGGAAACCGGGUCUAAUACCGGAUAUGACUCCAUGACGCAUGUUGUGGGGUGAAAGCCUUGUGCGGCUGAGGAUGGGCCCGCGGCCUAUCAGCUUGUUGGUGGGGUGAGUGGCCUACCAAGGCGACGACGGGUAGCCGGCCUGAGAGGGCGACCGGCCACA